rnacentral:misc_RNA from 2 species
CAACCCUCAAGCUCCGGCUUGGUGUUGGGGAUCGGCAGCCCGGCUUCGCGCCGACGCCGUCCCCCAAAUGCAGUGGCGGUCACGCUGUAGCUUCCUAUGCGUAGUAGCACACCUCGCACUGGAGAGCAGCGCGGCCACGCCGUAAAACCCCCAACUUUUUGU